rnacentral:rRNA from 1 species
GGUGUUUACUGUCGAACUGAACACUCUACCGUUUACUGUCUGGUGGUGCUCUUCACCGAGUGUCACCAGUGGUCGGUACGUUUACUUUGAAAAAAUUAGAGUGCUCAAAGCGGUUUUUACACUACCGAAUACUGUUGCAUGGAAUAAUGAAAUAGGACUUUGGUUCUAUUUUGUUGGUCUUCGGAACCAAGGUAAUGAUUAAGAGGGACAGACGGGGGCAUUAGUAUUGCGACGCUAGAGGUGAAAUUCUUGGACCGUCGCAAGACUAACUAAAGCGAAAGCAUUUGCCAAGAAUGUUUUCAUUAAUCAAGAACGAAAGUUAGAGGUUCGAAGGCGAUCAGAUACCGCCCUAGUUCUAACCAUAAACGAUGCCAACCAGCAAUCAGCCUGUGUUCUCUUGAUGACACGGCUGGCGGCUUCCGGGAAACCAAAGUCUUUCGGUUCCAGGGGAAGUAUGGUUGCAAAGCUGAAACUUAAAGGAAUUGACGGAAGGGCACCACCAGGAGUGGAGCCUGCGGCUUAAUUUGACUCAACACGGGGAAACUCACCCGGCCCGGACACUGUGAGGAUUGACAGGUUGAAGCCCUUUCUUGAUUCAGUGGGUGGUGGUGCAUGGCCGUUCUUAGUUGGUGGAGUGAUUUGUCUGGUUAAUUCCGAUAACGAACGAGACUCUAGCCUACUAAUUAGACCGUGGCGUCCUCGUGCCGCCACGGCGCUUCCUAGAGGGACAGACGG